UACGGAAGGCAGCAGUGGGGAAUAUUGCACAAUGGGCGCAAGCCUGAUGCAGCCAUGCCGCGUGUAUGAAAAAGGCCUUCGGGUUGUAAAGUACUUUCAGUCGUGAGGAAGGUGUUAAGGUUAAUAACCUUAGCAAUUGACGUUAGCGACAGAAGAAGCACCGGCUAACUCCGUGCCAGCAGCCGCGGUAAUACGGAGGGUGCGAGCGUUAAUCGGAAUUACUGGGCGUAAAGGGCACGCAGGCGGUUAAUUAAGUUGGAUGUGAAAUCCCCGGGCUUAACCUGGGAAUGGCAUUCAAGACUGGUUAGCUAGAGUCUUGUAGAGGGGGUAGAAUUCCAUGUGUAGCGGUGAAAUGCGUAGAGAUGUGGAGGAAUACCGGUGGCGAAGGCGGCCCCUGGACAAAGACUGACGCUCGAUGUGCGAAAGCGUGGGGAGCAAACAGGGAUUAGAUACCCGU
rnacentral:rRNA from 1 species